AGUGGAACCUCUGAUUGCAUCAAAGAUGGACCAGACCUUCUCAAUGCGAAGAUGUGAGAUUGUGGAUGCAGAUGGAGCAGUGGCCAGCUCUUUUUACAGAGAGACCAGUGUUUGCAGAGUUUGACAGGAUAGUCACCACAGAUCUGCAGACUGCAGAGUAACUUUUAUGGUGCUGUGGAUCGCUACACACCACGUUUUGUCACAAGUCUUCAAGAAGCAUUGGAGAGAAAUUUGAUGAUCUUAUGCAGCAAAUUAAUACAGGGGUUUGUGAUGUUGAUGAAGCCUGGGCACAAGUAUCUGUUGGGGUGCUGACUGUCAUUGAUGAAGAAGAAUCUCUCUCUCUACCUUUGCCCA